rnacentral:rRNA from 1 species
AGAGUUUGAUCCUGGCUCAGGAUGAACGCUAGCGGCAGGCUUAACACAUGCAAGUCGAGGGGUAUAGGUUUUCGGACCUAGAGACCGGCGCACGGGUGCGUAACGCGUAUGCAAUCUACCUUUUACAGAGGGAUAGCCCAGAGAAAUUUGGAUUAAUACCUCAUAGUAUAGUACAACCGCAUGGUUGAACUAUUAAAGUCACAACGGUAAAAGAUGAGCAUGCGUCCCAUUAGCUUGUUGGUAAGGUAACGGCUUACCAAGGCAACGAUGGGUAGGGGUCCUGAGAGGGAGAUCCCCCACACUGGUACUGAGACACGGACCAGACUCCUACGGGAGGCAGCAGUGAGGAAUAUUGGUCAAUGGGCGCAAGCCUGAACCAGCCAUGCCGCGUGCAGGAUGACGGUCCUAUGGAUUGUAAACUGCUUUUGUACAGGAAGAAACAUCUCUACGUGUAGAGACUGACGGUACUUAAGAAUAAGUUCGUC